rnacentral:rRNA from 1 species
UUGAUCCUGGCUCAGGAUGAACGCUGGCGGCGUGCUUAAGACAUGCAAGUCGAACGAAGAAGCGGUAGCAAUACGGCUUCUUAGUGGCGAAUGGGUGCGUAACACGUAGGUGACCUGCCCUGAAGUGGGGAAUAACAGGCCGAAAGGCUUGCUAAUACCGCAUGCGGUGCAGUGGAUUAGAAGCCACUGCUCCAAAGGUCUGUCGCAAGACAAAUCGCUUCAGGAGGGGCCUGCGGCCCAUCAGCUAGUUGGUAGGGUAAUGGCCUACCAAGGCAACGACGGGUAGGGGACCUGAGAGGGUGGCCCCCCACACUGGCACUGACACACGGGCCAGACUCCUACGGGAGGCAGCAGUCGGGAAUAUUGCCCAAUGGACGAAAGUCUGAGGCAGCAACGCCGCGUGCGCGAUGAAGGCCUUCGGGUCGUAAAGCGCUUUUCGGGUGGAUGAGGAAGGACAGUACACCCGGAAUAAGGUACGGCUAACUACGUGCCAGCAGCCGCGGUAAAACGUAGGUACCGAGCGUUAUCCGGAUUUACUGGGCGUAAAGCGUGUUCAGGCGGUCAGGCAAGUCGGGCAUGAAAUCUCUCGGCUCAACCGGGAGAGGUUGUCCGAUACUGGCUGACUUGAGGGCAGUAGAGGGUGGUGGAAUUCCGGGUGUAGUGGUGAAAUGCGUAAUUCCGGAGGAACACCAGUGGCGAAAGCGGCCACCUGGACUGNACCCUGAACGCUCAAAACACGAAAGCUAGGGAGGCGAACGGGAUUAGAAACCCCGGUUAGUCCUAGCCGUAAACGAAUGUUUACUAAGGUNUUAGCGGUCUAAACCCCGGUUGUGUUGGCCGAGCUAACGGCCNNCUAAGUUCAAACCGGCCUGGGGACUACGGCCCGCAGNUUAAAAACCUCAAAGGGAAUUGANCGGGGACCCGCACAACCAGCGGAGCGUGUGGUAUAAUUCGAGGAUACAGCGAAGAACCUUACCAAGGGAAUUGACAGUGACGGUAGUAGUGAAGCGAAAAGCGGAACGACCCUUCGGGGACCAGUACACAGUGAUGCAUGGCUGUCGUCAAGCUCGUGCCGUGAGUGUUGUUUGGUUAAGUCCACUAAUCGAGCGCAACCCUUAUGUGCCAGUUUAUAUCGUGUCUGGCACUGACUAGCCGGUAUUUAAAGCCGGAGGAAGGUGGGGAUGACGUACAAGUCAGCAUGUCCUUUAUACCCUGGUCUACACANAUUGCUACUNAUGGCCAGUACAAUGGUGUUGCCAACGUCCGCGAUGGCGGAGGCCAAUCCUGAUAAAGAUGGUACUCAUGUGUCGGGAUUGCACGGCUUGCAACGUAGCUUGUCAUGAAGUCGGAGCUUGNUAGUANAACGCAGGACAGCCUAUACUGCGUUGAAUACGCUUCCCGGGUCUUGUACACCACCGCCCUCGUCACGUCAUGGGAGUUGG